CUGUUUUAAAAUAAAAAUAGGAGUUGAGUAUUAUGUCAAUGAGUAAGUAACCAAGCGACACGAAAUAUCGAAAAGAUAUCUAAGAGUUCAAAAUAUGGUCUUCAAAAAAGACAGAUGUCUAUAGAAUGUGUAAAGCUUUUUCUCACCCGACGCCUCUUAAAAUUUUGAACUGAUCAAAUAGAUCAUCGAAAAUGUAAUUACUUUUUUAAAUGCAAAAAAAAACACCAAAAAUAACAUUGAGAUACAACAAAAGGUCAUAGUGAUUCAUGUGUAAAUUUUGACAUGAGCACAUUUUACCAUGUGCUUCAACUUUAUAUAACUUCUUUUCCAAUUUAUACGGACUUUUACAAUUAUUAAGCCGGCGUCAAUGUGUUUUUUUUAUUUUUGCACGCUCUUUUUUGUUAAACGGAAAGAAGUAUUGGAAAUUGUGCAAAUACGCAAGAUUCUAAUUUCAAAUGUUCUAUUGCAAUAGAUAUGUUUUAUUUGCCAAAUCUGAUAAAUUCCAUUGCGACAAUUUCCCGCCAAAUACUUCAUUAUAUUUGUAGUUAGUUAUGUAUAUGUAUGAAAAGGCUAUAAAAAUAUAGCUAUAUAAAAAUGUUGAAGACAGAAA
rnacentral:lncRNA from 1 species